CGUUUCUUUAAGCGCAAAGCUCGACGACGCAGCAACUACAGGUUCUCCUGGCGUGUCUUCAUGCAGCAGAUGUUCCCUCCCUCAUCUGCGUGCGAUGCGCCCUCCUAGCCUCGCUCGUCACACGACCAGCGAGGCGCUUU
rnacentral:sRNA from 1 species